AUUGAACGCUGGCGGUAUGCCUCACACAUGCAAGUCGAACGGCAGCACGGGAGCAAUCCUGGUGGCGAGUGGCGAACGGGUGAGUAAAGUAUCGGAACGUGCCCAGUCGUGGGGGAUAACGUAGCGAAAGUUACGCUAAUACCGCAUACGAUCUAUGGAUGAAAGCGGGGGAUCGCAAGACCUUGCGCGAUUGGAGCGGCCGAUAUCAGAUUAGGUAGUUGGUGGGGUAAAGGCUCACCAAGCCGACGAUCUGUAGCUGGUCUGAGAGGACGACCAGCCACACUGGGACUGAGACACGGCCCAGACUCCUACGGGAGGCAGCAGUGGGGAAUUUUGGACAAUGGGCGAAAGCCUGAUCCAGCCAUGCCGCGUGCAGGAUGAAGGCCUUCGGGUUGUAAACUGCUUUGUACGGAACGAAAAGGUUUGGCCUAAUAAGCUGAGCUCAUGACGGUACCGUAAGAAUAAGCACCGGCUAACUACGUGCCAGCCGCCGCCGUAA
rnacentral:rRNA from 1 species